AAUUUAUAUUUAGUAAAUUAAUUUUUUUUUUGCCAUAUAAAAUUAUUAGGAUUGUAUGGAUGGAUUGUAAAAAUUUUCAGAUUAUUAAGAUCAUAUGUGGUUUGUUGAAAUAUUUAUGUGAUUAUUAAGAUUAUACGUGGAAUAUAGAAAAAAACGAUAAAUAAGUGAACGACAGUAAAUGAUUCACGUCUUUAUGUAGGUAGUGAAUCUUUCACUGUUUUUAAGAAAAAAUUUCAACGUGACUCCUACAUGCCAAAAAGAGAAUUAGUUUUUCAAAGAUAAUUCUGUUUGGGGUAUUUCGU
rnacentral:lncRNA from 1 species